AAGAAAGCAUGAAGAAGAGAGAAAAAAAAAAAAAAGGGGCCAUUUCGGCCAACUCCAUAGAAAAAUAGGUCUUUGAAAUCUUGCCCAAAAAUAUAAUUUCUUCAUGUAUUCCUACUAAUUUGGAGGUCCUCUACAAUAUGAAGUAGUUGUUGGAGCAAGAGAACCAUUAUUUGUCACAAGCUCACAACUUUAGUUAAGUGAAGAAGUUGAAGAAGAAAGAUUAACGAGUUUGGACAAAUAAGCAUAACUAGUUGGUCGUGGCACAGGUACUCCCAGACGAGAUAAGGACACUAUAAAAGAUAUUUCAGCAGUGGCGGCGAACUCCAUUUGCUCCUGGAGGACUGCCAAGUCAGGGUAUGGUAUAUGUGUUAUGGUUUCUGUAUGGUGUUA